AGCAGUCGCCACGGUAAUACGGAGGGAGCUAGCGUUGUUCGGAAUUACUGGGCGUAAAGCGCGCGUAGGCGGUGAGUUAAGUCUGCUGUGAAAUCCCCGGGCUCAACCUGGGAAUGGCAGUGGAUACUGGCUCGCUAGAGUGUGUCAGAGGAUGGUGGAAUUCCCGGUGUAGCGGUGAAAUGCGUAGAGAUCGGGAGGAACAUCAGUGGCGAAGGCGGCCAUCUGGUACAACACUGACGCUGAGGCACGAAAGCGUGGGGAGCAAACAGGAUUAGAUACCCCUGUAGUCCCUGUCUCUUAUAC
rnacentral:rRNA from 1 species